rnacentral:sRNA from 15 species
UAGCUCAGUUGGUAGAGCAGUUGACUUUUAAUCAAUUGGUCGCAGGUUCGAAUCCUGCACGACCCACCAAUUUAACAUCAAACCCUGAUGUUAAACGUGAAGGAUAACGUUGCUUUAGCAACGGCCAGAAGGGCGAGGCGAAGCCGAGUCAUCCUGCACGACCCACCA